UACGGGGGGGGCAAGCGUUGUUCGGAAUUACUGGGCGUAAAGGGCUCGUAGGUGGCCAACUAAGUCAGACGUGAAAUCCCUCGGCUUAACCGGGGAACUGCGUCUGAUACUGGAUGGCUUGAGUUUGGGAGAGGAAUGCGGAAUUCCAGGUGUAGCGGUGAAAUGCGUAGAUAUCGGGAGGAACACCAGUAGCGAAGGCGGCUCGCUGGGCCACACCUGACGCUGAGACGCGAAAGCUAGGGGAGCGAACAGG
rnacentral:rRNA from 1 species